rnacentral:tRNA from 2 species
GGUGUAGCUCCAAUUGGCAGAGCAGCGGAUUCCAAAUCCGCGUGUUGGGAGUUCGAAUCUCUCCACCCCUGCCA